rnacentral:rRNA from 1 species
AAGCGGCAAAAGCUCAAAUUUGAAAUCUGGCACUUUCAGUGUCCGAGUUGUAAUUUGAAGAAGGUAUCUUUGGGUCUGGCUCUUGUCUAUGUUUCUUGGAACAGAACGUCACAGAGGGUGAGAAUCCCGUGCGAUGAGAUGACCCAGACCUAUGUAAAGUUCCUUCGAAGAGUCGAGUUGUUUGGGAAUGCAGCUCUAAGUGGGUGGUAAAUUCCAUCUAAAGCUAAAUAUUGGCGAGAGACCGAUAGCGAACAAGUACAGUGAUGGAAAGAUGAAAAGAACUUUGAAAAGAGAGUGAAAAAGUACGUGAAAUUGUUGAAAGGGAAGGGCUUGAGAUCAGACUUGGUAUUUUGUAUGUUACUCUCUCGGGGGUGGCCUCUACAGUUUACCGGGCCAGCAUCAGUUUGGGCGGUAGGAGAAUUGCAAAGAAAUGUGGCACUGCCUCGGUAGUGUGUUAUAGUCUUUGUCGAUACUACCAGCCUAGACUGAGGACUGCGGCUUCGGCCUAGGAUGUUGGCAUAAUGAUCUUAAGUCGCCCGUCUUGAAACACGGACC